GGAAAACCCGGGCGAACCUUUAUCUUCGACCCUCCGAAGGCAGAGGUCGAAGGUUCGAAUCCUUUCGGGUCCGCCA
rnacentral:tRNA from 1 species